UACGUAGGGUGCGAGCGUUGUCCGGAAUUAUUGGGCGUAAAGAGCUCGUAGGCGGUUUGUCGCGUCGACUGUGAAAACCCGAGGCUUAACCUCGGGCCUGCAGUCGAUACGGGCAGACUAGAGUUCGGUAGGGGAGACUGGAAUUCCUGGUGUAGCGGUGAAAUGCGCAGAUAUCAGGAGGAACACCGGUGGCGAAGGCGGGUCUCUGGGCCAUAACUGACGCUGAGGAGCGAAAGCGUGGGGAGCGAACAGG
rnacentral:rRNA from 1 species